rnacentral:rRNA from 1 species
GAUGAACGCUGGCGGCGUGCCUAAUACAUGCAAGUCGAGCGAACAGACGAGGAGCUUGCUCCUCUGACGUUAGCGGCGGACGGGUGAGUAACACGUGGAUAACCUACCUAUAAGACUGGGAUAACUUCGGGAAACCGGAGCUAAUACCGGAUAAUAUAUUGAACCGCAUGGUUCAAUAUUGAAAGACGGUUUUGCUGUCACUUAUAGAUUGAUCCGCGCCGCAUUAGCUAGUUGGUAAGGUAACGGCUUACCAAGGCAACGAUGCGUAGCCGACCUGAGAGGGUGAUCGGACACACUGGAACUGAGACACGGUCCAGACUCCUACGGGAGGCAGCAGUAGGGAAUCUUCCGCAAUGGGCGAAAGCCUGACGGAGCAACGCCGCGUGAGUGAUGAAGGUCUUCGGAUCGUAAAACUCUGUUAUUAGGGAAGAACAAAUGUGUAAGUAACUAUGCACGUCUUGACGGUACCUAAUCAGAAAGCCACGGCUAACUACGUG